rnacentral:rRNA from 1 species
UAAGGAAUAUUGGUCAAUGGACGCAAGUCUGAACCAGCCAUGCCGCGUGAAGGAUGAAGGUCCUCUGGAUUGUAAACUUCUUUUAUCUGGGACGAAAACGGGAUUUUUAUCUCAAUUGACGGUACCAGAGGAAUAAGCACCGGCUAACUCCGUGCCAGCAGCCGCGGUAAUACGGAGGGUGCGAGCGUUAUCCGGAUUUACUGGGUUUAACGGGUGCGUAGGUGGGCUUAUAAGUCAGUGGUGAAAUCUCCGAGCUUAACUUGGAAACUGCCGUUGAUACUAUAGGCCUUGAAUUAUCUGGAGGUAAGCGGAAUAUGGCAUGUAGCGGUGAAAUGCUUAGAUAUGACAUAGAACACCAAUUGCGAAGGCAGCUUACUACAUAUAAAUUGACGCUGAGGCACGAAAGCGUGGGGAUCAAACA